UACGUAGGGUGCGAGCGUUGUCCGGAAUUAUUGGGCGUAAAGAGCGUGUAGGCGGUUUGGUAGGUCCGCUGUGAAAACUCGAGGCUCAACCUCGAGACGCCGGUGGAAACCAUCAGGCUAGAGUCCGGAAGAGGAGAGUGGAAUUCCUGGUGUAGCGGUGAAAUGCGCAGAUAUCAGGAAGAACACCCGUGGCUAAGGCGGCUCUCUAGUACGGUACUGACGCUGAGACGCGAAAGCGUGGGGAGCGAACAGG
rnacentral:rRNA from 1 species